rnacentral:rRNA from 1 species
GUUGUAAGGUUAAGAAAUUAAGCGUACACGGUGGAUGCCUAGGCAAUCAGAGGCGAAGAAGGACGUGUUAAUCUGCGAAAAGCGACGGUAAGCUGAUAAAAAGCGUAAUAGCCGUCGAUGUCCGAAUGGGGAAACCCAGUGUGGGUAACCACACUAUCAUCUAAUGAAUUCAUAGUUAGAUGAGGCGAACCGGGAGAACUGAAACAUCUAAGUACCCCGAGGAAAAGAAAUCAACCGAGAUUCCCUGAGUAGCGGCGAGCGAAAGGGGAGGAGCCCAAGCGGGUAGCAUAAGGUAUUAGUGGAAGCGUCUGGAAAGUCGCACGAUAGAGGGUGAAAGUCCCGUACACGAAGGUACGUUAUGUGGAAGCUUAUAGAGUAGGGCGGGACACGUGAUAUCCUGUCUGAAGAAGGGGGGACCAUCCUCCAAGGCUAAAUACUCCUGAUUGACCGAUAGUGAACCAGUACCGUGAGGGAAAGGCGAAAAGAACCCCGGGAGGGGAGUGAAAUAGACCCUGAAACCGUGUACGUACAAUCAGUGGGAGCUGUUACCGUUGGGUAAUAGUGACUGCGUACCUUUUGUAUAAUGGGUCAGCGACUUAUAUUCUGUAGCGAGGUUAACCGAAUAGGGGAGCCGAAGGGAAACCGAGUAUUAACUGUGCGUUAAGUUGCAGGGUAUAGACCCGAAACCCGGUGAUCUAGCCAUGGGCAGGUUGAAGGUUGGUUAACACUAACUGGAGGACCGAACCGACUAAUGUUGAAAAAUUAGCGGAUGACCUGUGGCUGGGGGUGAAAGGCCAAUCAAACCGGGAGAUAGCUGGUUCUCCCCGAAAGCUAUUUAGGUAGCGCCUCAUGAAUGACUGUUGGGGGUAGAGCACUGUUUCGGCUAGGGGGCCAUCCCGGCUUACCAACCCGAUGCAAACUCCGAAUACUGACAAGUUGAAUCAUGGGAGACACACGGCGGGUGCUAACGUUCGUCGUGAAGAGGGAAACAACCCAGACCGCCAGCUAAGGUCCCAAAGUCAUAGUUAAGUGGGAAACGAAGUGGGAAGGCUUAGACAGCUAGGAUGUUGGCUUAGAAGCAGCCAUCAUUUAAAGAAAGCGUAAUAGCUCACUAGUCGAGUCGGCCUGCGCGGAAGAUGUAACGGGGCUAAAACUAUGCACCGAAGCUGCGGCAGUGCACGCAAGUGUAUUGGGUAGGGGAGCGUUCUGUAAGCCGUAGAAGGUGUGUUGUGAGGCAUGCUGGAGGUAUCAGAAGUGCGA